rnacentral:rRNA from 1 species
GAUGAACGCUAGCGGCAGGCCUAACACAUGCAAGUCGAGGGAGAAGCCCUUUCGGGGGCAGAAACCUGCGCACGGGUGCGUAACGCGUAUGCAACCUACCUUUCCCCUGGGGAUAGCCCGAAGAAAUUUGGAUUAAUACUCCAUACUAUUAUUGGCUGGCAUCAUUUGAUAAUUAAAACUGCGGUGGUGCAAGAUGGGCAUGCGUCCUAUUAGCUAGUUGGAGUGGUAACGGCACCCCAAGGCGACGAUUGGUAGGGUUCCUGAGAGGGAGAGCCCCCACACUGGUACUGAGAAAGGGACGAGAGACCUACGGGAGGCAGCAGUGAGGAAUAUAGGAGAAUGGUCGGAAGACUGAACCAGCCAUGCCUCGUGCAGGAAGAAUGCCUUAUGGGUUGUAAACUGCUUGUAUAUGGGAAGAAUAAGGCGUACGUGUACGUGGAUGACGGUACCAGAUGAAUAAGCAUCGGCUAACUCCGUG